GGGAACAUACCCUUUUCUACGGAAUAGCUCUGGGAAACUGGAAUUAAUACCGUAUACGCCCUACGGGGGAAAGAUUUAUCGGGGAAGGAUGGCCCGCGUUGGAUUAGCUAGUUGGUGGGGUAAAGGCCUACCAAGGCGACGAUCCAUAGCUGGUCUGAGAGGAUGAUCAGCCACAUUGGGACUGAGACACGGCCCAAACUCCUACGGGAGGCAGCAGUGGGGAAUAUUGGACAAUGGGCGCAAGCCUGAUCCAGCCAUGCCGCGUGAGUGAUGAAGGCCUUAGGGUUGUAAAGCUCUUUCACCGAUGAAGAUAAUGACGGUAGUCGGAGAAGAAGCCCCGGCUAACUUCGUGCCAGCAGCCGCGGUAAUACGAAGGGGGCUAGCGUUGUUCGGAAUUACUGGGCGUAAAGCGCACGUAGGCGGAUAUUUAAGUCAGGGGUGAAAUCCCAGAGCUCAACUCUGGAACUGCCUUUGAUACUGGGUAUCUUGAGUAUGGAAGAGGUAAGUGGAAUUGCGAGU
rnacentral:rRNA from 1 species